CCUUUCAAGCUUAAUUGAAACAUUUAACAAGUUGAUUGCAAGGAUGCGUAUAUAGUCAAAAAAGUUUUAGUUUUUAUCCAACAUGCAUUGAAUUGUCGGAGUUUCAACAAACUUGAACUAUUUGUUUUAAAAAAUUUUAUUAGCAAAUAACAACA